GAUGAACGCUAGCGGGAAGCUUAAUACAUGCAAGUUGAGCGGUAGCUGACUGAUAGCAAUAUUAGUUAGCUAGAGCGGCGCACGGGUGAGUAACGCGUACAUAACCUACCCUAUACUGGGGGAUAGCCUUGGGAAACUGGGAUUAAUACCCCAUGGUAUUAUUUGGCCUCCUGGUUGAAUAAUUAAAGUUGCGGCGGUAUAGGAUGGGUGUGCGUCUGAUUAGCUAGUUGGUAAGGUAACGGCUUACCAAGGCGAUGAUCAGUAGGGGGCGUGAGAGGGUGGUCCCCCACACGGGUACUGAGACACGGACCCGACUCCUACGGGAGGCAGCAGUAAGGAAUAUUGGUCAAUGGAGGAACCUCUGAACCAGCUAUCCCGCGUGAAGGAUGAAGGGGCUCUGCCUUGUAAACUUCUUUUGUCUGGGGCGAAAAAGCUCGAUUUAUCGAGAACUGACGGUACCAGAAGAAUAAGCACCGGCUAACUCCGUGCCAGCAGCCGCGGUAACAC
rnacentral:rRNA from 1 species